CCUCCUUAUACGAUUUAGAACUUAUUUGUUCGUAGUGUCCACACAGAUGAUUGUUAGUUAGUUUUACCCUUUGGGUUUAACUGAUUAAUAUGCUCUUUAAAAAUUUGGAAAAGCUGAUAAUAAAAUUCGUAUGAAUAACAGUGUUAUUUGUACAGAGUUUUCAAAAGUAAAGAAGAAUGAUAGCAGUAUCAUUCAGUGCCAAUUUAAUCAUUUAUGAUUAAUUGGUAUCUACUUUAGUAUUCAAUAUUAACUUCUGGCGAAGUUAAACUGUCACAUAACAAAGACCCGUUUGGGUUGUAUGGUUAAGUGACUAAACCGUACACGGUGGAUGCCU
rnacentral:misc_RNA from 1 species